GGAUCCUAGCUCAGGGGCAGAGCAUCUGCUUUGUAUGCAGAAGGUUCCUGGUUCAAUUCCUAAAGGCAUCUCCA